UACGUGAUGCAACAGUGCUCAACUUACGCUUGAAAUCCCAAGGUCUUGACGACGCUGCUGCUGAUGAUAGGCCAAAGUGUUCUUAGUGGCACAGCGCGCUCACGGUUGUACGUCGCUCCACGAAGCUGACGUGGCUGCGUCGCUCGAAGUAUUGUUCGAGGAGAGACGGCAGGCGGACUCGAUCUCCCAGA
rnacentral:lncRNA from 1 species